GAUGAACGCUGGCGGCGUGCCUAAUACAUGCAAGUCGAGCGAACAGACGAGGAGCUUGCUCCUCUGAUGUUAGCGGCGGACGGGUGAGUAACACGUGGAUAACCUACCUAUAAGACUGGGAUAACUUCGGGAAACCGGAGCUAAUACCGGAUAACAUGUUGAACCGCAUGGUUCAACAGUGAAAGACGGUCUUGCUGUCACUUAUAGAUGGAUCCGCGCCGCAUUAGCUAGUUGGUAAGGUAACGGCUUACCAAGGCAACGAUGCGUAGCCGACCUGAGAGGGUGAUCGGCCACACUGGAACUGAGACACGGUCCAGACUCCUACGGGAGGCAGCAGUAGGGAAUCUUCCGCAAUGGGCGAAAGCCUGACGGAGCAACGCCGCGUGAGUGAAGAAGGUCUUCGGAUCGUAAAACUCUGUUAUUAGGGAAGAACAAAUGUGUAAGUAACUAUGCACGUCUUGACGGUACCUAAUCAGAAAGCCACGGCUAACUACGUGC
rnacentral:rRNA from 1 species